ACUGGAGUGCAUGUAAAUUAAAAAAUAUUAAGCUCCUAAAUGAAAGUGUUCCGUCUGUGCGUCAUGGACUGAUCGCACCUCCGCCCUCCUUCCGCCGGCAUCCUUACCUCCGUGCCCUUGGAAGCAUCCACAUCCACGCACAAACGUUCCAGUGAC